AGAUAGAAGGGGAAAGAGGUGAGGAAAGAAGGGGGAAAGAGAAAAAAAUAGGGGAAAGAGAGAAAAAACCGAGGUGCGUGUAGCUGUGCAGUGGCAGCCUCGGGAGGGGGAAGAAGAGAGGGUGCUGGAGUGAUGCUGAGCAAUGCCAGCUGUGCCCAGCCCGGAGCAGCCAGUGAGCCCCUCUGCCUGUCCCCGGGCUGUGUCACACGGCGGGCAGCACUCAAAGCACGAUUCAUUUCAUUUCCCAUCCGUGAGGCACAACAAAUAACUCUGUGAGUAGUGUACGUGUGUGUGUGUGCGGCUCCUCUGCAAACUCUCACCUCCCCAGCACCGCCGGUACCACCCCAGCACACCGCUGGCUGCUUCCCAGAGCCCCGGCCCCCCUUCCUUCCCAGGCAGGCCUCUAGCUUUAAUAAAUGAUACUCAGUCCUGGAAGAAUGUGUAUUAGUGGCUUGAUGGACCAGAGCGACUCCACUAUGCAUGAAGCAUAUUAAACAUGGUAUCGACCCUCGCUUUCCACGGCAGUAACAUGCAUAACAAACAGGCUGGGGCCACGCUGCAGCUGCUCACACAACGCUGGGCACUCAGCGGGGCUGCAGUGACACCAGGGACAGCUGCUGGGGGGUUCUGCUGGCACAGGUAGAGCCCAGCUCUCCUGCAGUGAGUGGAUCUGGGGAAAUCGAAGGAGCUGGGACAAUCAGGGUUAUCCCAGACGCUCUGCCAUCACCUCCCUGUGUGGCAGAUCUGUGCGACGCUCCCCAGCCUUAUCUGCCCUGAUUUAUUCUUUAAUUGGCAAAGUGUCUCGUGCCGUAAAUAUUAGCAAGAGAGCAGCUCCUCCUGGAAAAGUGAGGCCUCUUAUCUGCCAUCGCCAUAUCCCUGUGUGCCCUUAUCACUCCAUCUCCUGCCUGUCACUGUGGCAUCCCGAGCCAGGCAGGAGAGACUCUGGAAAGGCCCCAAAACCUGCAUUUCUCCUACAGCUCUUCUGCUGGAGAACACGAGACUCUGUCCUUCCUGCAGGGCAGACCCACAUGGGGAUGGUUGGAUGAGGGGUACACAGCUGGCAGCAGCUCAGGAUCCCAGUUUGGGACCUCUUCACCAGAUGCAUCACAGUCCAUUUGAUUUAAAAUAAAAAAUUCAAAUCCAUUGCAAUCCACCUGAAGAAUAAAAACACCAAAAAGGACCCAUCUUGUGUCAGGCAAGCAGCUGCAAACUGACACUCAGGUGGAGCUGUAGAAGUUAAAACAAAAUAAAGCGUCUUGGAUCCUUUUAAUCCUCUGCUCCUGUAAUUUCAGCAUGUCCAAACAGAUUUUGGUGUGUGUUUAUAACUGGUAACUUCAUUUGCUCCUGGGCUGGGACCUUAAAUGCCAAGUUUCAUCUCCAAGUCAGUUUUUAAGAGUGAGUUACAUCAACUCCUGGGAGAAAAGGGGGCAAAAAGGAAAUACGUAAGGAUAUAAAAUAAAGUUGGGGGUUGUCAGAAAAAGCAGGUCCAAAAUAUCUAAGAGUGCAAAAAUCACAGAUUUCAUGGAUGUCUGUGUACAGACUGACAGCUCAAAGGUAGAAAUUAGUUUCCUGAUAGACAAACUAAAGCUAAUCUGUCUGAUAGAGCAAACACAUCUUGGGGCAGAGCUGGGCUCUCACCUGCCUGUCCCCACCCAGCUGGGUACCCAAGGCCUUCAGGGCUUUGAGUGUGUCCAUCACCAGCACAUGGGGUGGGGAUCUGGCCCCAAACCCCCAUCCCAAAGCAGUCUCAGCUCUGUGACUGCAGCAGAUCCCAGGGUUACCAGAGCCAGGGCUGCAAAUCCACCUUUGCAGACUCCCAACACAUGAAAUUACCAUAACCAGGACAUUUCACGCUACUCUCCCAUAAAGCUGUUUAGAGCAAAUUAAAUUUCUCCCUAACCAGGCUGUAACAGUUCAUGUUAGAUGUGGAUCUAAAUGUUAAUUGCAAUGACAAUAACAGGUCUGAUCCUGCAAUCCUUAUUUGAGUAAAACCUCCCACAGAAGCCAAAGGAAUUUUGCCCCAGAGAAGGCAGCUGGAUGCAGUCCCACAUUUCCAGUCUCUUGAAGAUGCCAGAAGGUAAGCCAGGAUAUUUCUGUGAUGUUACAAACCUUCUCUUUCCCUUUCCCCUCCCUUCCACCUCCCCUCAAUUCUUCAAUGCACUAUUAAUUUAAUAAGCUGCCCAGUGCUGUCCUCACCUUCAGCCUCACACUUCCCAGGAAGGACUUCAGUCAUCGUGGGGGGGCCACAUUCAGAUAAUUUUGGCAGCCUUGUACAUCUGGUUGAUGCAGGGAUGCUUGAAGGUCCUGUGCUGGCUGGGAGAACUGCCUGGAGAAACAGCUGCUCUUGUCCUCUGCACCCUUGGGUGAUGCCACCACCCUUUAGCCCGAGCUCCUGAGGAAGGCAAGCUGAUAAGGGCAAAGGGAUCCAGGUGCACAUGGGCCUCAGGAGGAGACAGACACUGAGAUCUGGGAGCUGGGACCACAUUCAGAACUUGGCACUUGAGCCCAGAAGGAGAGAGAGACACAACAAGAUUUUGGGAGACAAGUCAGAGAUCCUGGAGCCUGGAAGUGGGGUUAGUCCCUGAACAGAGCCUUGCCAAGACUCUCAGCAUCCCUCAGCCACAUCCAAACCCCUCCAGCUGCUGAGAGGGGCUCCUGCUCCUCGGGGAGACCCUGCAUGAAGGAACCAGCAAAGCUCCAGGACAAGCCACUUCUGUCAGUGCUGCAGAUUCAAACUGCCUUGUUUUGUUUCCCAGCAGCAUUUAACAGGCUGCUGAUGUUUGUUUAUGAAGUGAGAUGCACAUGAUUUAUUUGAUCUGCUGGAGAGCUGCAUUCCCACGCCAAGGACAGGCAGAGAUGUUGCAUUCUCCCCUCUUUUGGGGACUGCUGAGAUCAAAUCCUCCCUUGCACAGGCAGAGCUGCACUCUCAGCUGCUUCAAAACUGGACAUUAAAUCCUUAUUAGAAACCUCCAAACUGUGAAGCUGCAUUUGUUCUUGCCUGUUUCUGCAUAUAGAACAAGUGUUAAUAGAGUGUUCAGGCUCUUAAAACAGGUUUGGGGAAAAGGUCUCAGGGCACCUGGGCUCUGGUCUGGAUCCAGCUUGAAUAAUCCUAAGGGAGGUUUCAUCCUCUCCUUGAGCUUUUCUGGUGGAUGGGGUUUGGCAUGUCUCACCUGGCUUGCAGGGACAGUGGUUUAAUGAACUGCUUUGCAAAAUGACUUUACAAAUGGAGAGUCUACUCCUGCCUCUUUUAACACCUGGAGAUCUCUUUAUUCCAGCUCAUCACCCAGAGCAGGGCCUGGCUGCCAAAGAAGGCAGCAAAGAAAGCAUUAAGGGAUGGAAGAUGAAACGCAGCCCAUGAGCUGUGAGAUUUACAGCUCUCAGUGGAAAGCACGGGAAGCAUCACCCAUCCUGCCAGUGGGGCAGGAGCCAAACCCUCACCUGAUGGGAGCCAGAGCAGCACAGGAACCCUGGCAGUGCCUGGGCAGCAGCUGAAGCUCACCCCACACUGCUCACCAUGGCUCAGACACCACCUGAUUUACACCAGGGCUCGAGGAUUGUGACUCAGUCACUCAGAGACAGCUCUUCUGCUGGCCUUCCCCUGGUCCCUGCAUACAAAACACUUUGCAAAUGAAGUGUGAAGAUAAUAUGCUUUAUCAUGGGCAUUUAUUACCCGUGAUUGUGGUAUAAAUCUCCCUCCAUUCACAUACAUAUACAUAAGGUGUAUAUAAAUAUGCAGUAUCCGGCAGUACCCAGAGCCUUUCUGAUGAUGUCAAUGUAGCCCCCAUAAAGAUAGUGGGAAAUGAUUCAUAAUAUUUAUAUGACAGACAUGAUAUGAACUGUAAUAGCCUGUUGGGAUCGAGAAUAUCCAUAGGUCUCUGUCAGCCACAAAUGUGAUUUAAAUAUUAUAUAUGUGGCAACUGUAGCAUUAGUAAUAUGAUAGCUGUUAUUGAUAGUGGUCAUAAAAUGCAGUAGUUUUGCACUGAAGAAUGUGAAAAAUAAUCUAGUGGUUUUCCUAAUGGUCUUCCCAGCAAUGCACUGAAAGGAAGUGUACUUUCAAUGCCUCCUUUUUGCCAUGCCUCCUCCUCUCCUCCCCCCACCCCAAAUUACCAUUGCAUUCUCUCAGAUUACUGCCAGGGCCAUAUUUUACUCUGCUGAUGUCAGGUUGUGGCAUCUCAUCCCCCUGGGGCUGUCUGGGGAGGGCAGAGGGUCCCUGCAGAGCCCUGGGCUGUUGUUGAGGCCGUGUGUGCUGGGAGGGUCCUGUUGGUGCUUCCUCUGAGAACACGGAGCAGGAGGAGGGCAAAAAGCAGCAGGAGAGGGG